GCAAGUAUUUAUAAAGCUACAAUCAGUUGACAAGCCCCAACUGAUGGGCAAACAAGUUAAGACAAAGUACAAAAACGUGGGCACAUUUUUAGGUUAUGAUCAGCAUGUCUUGGAAGAGGUUGCAACUGCCAACUGCUUCUCAUGUGCUUUGCACAUGUUUUCCAAAUGUUGCUUGUGCACAGCAUUUGCCUGAUUUUCGCCCAGCUGCUUUGUGCCAAGGCUGGCAUUGCGCCCAACCUUUCCUUUGACACUACUCUGCGCCAAUGUCAUUGCCACAGCUCAUCGCCCGCUGACUUAUCCGCACACGUUCAUUGUCACAGCUGCCCGCUCAUAUCAGUCGCCCCCAACUUGAUUAAAUUUGCCUGCAUCAUUUGCCAUUGUUUGUCCCGCCUUGCCUUGCCAUGUCUUUGCCCCUGCUUGACAUGGCUUUUCCUUGCCAUUGAUUUGCCAAUCCACACAUCCAAGUAAAAUGCGCCUUGCUUCCAUUCAAGGUGAGUUUGUCGAACCCCGCAUUGUCUGUCAUGUCGAGCAGCACAUCAUGAUGUUGCCCAAUUUUCAGGUUGUGUGCCAAGGCCAUCAUGAAAAUCCUUGUCACAACCCACACCUGCCGAGGACCUUUGUCAAGGGGCUAACAAACCACCCCCACCAGAAGAAUUCGUCGUCCUCGACGAAGCAGCUUCCGCAUUUUUUAGCACCACCAUAGGCCCUAAAUAUGUUGUUGCUUGCUCAUGUUCUUCCUCGUUUGGCUUAUCUUCAUUCUUUUCUUCAGCAAACAACGCUGAAAGCCGUUAAAUUCUUGGACAUCCCCUCGCUAUGUGUGGUCCUUUGCAAAUAAAACAGCCAUCAAACUUGUUGUUGUGUCCCUUGUUUGUCGAAGGUCCAGCACAUUGUUUUCCCUUCUCAUUGCCAUUGCCCUCAACAGCAUUGCCCUUGUCGUUUCCGUUUUUCUCCACUCUUUUGUCUUGUCCUUGUUCUCGUUUCUGGACUUUGAAGUAGUAGAGAAAUCAAAACCAUCUUGUCUCAACCGAAAAUCACCCAACGCAUCCGCAGCGGAAAUGGCACUAGGAAUGUCUUUCACAUUCUGCCUUCGUAGUUCCAUUUGUGCCCACGACUGCAACCCGUAAAGUAAAUUAUGCAGCUUGUCUUCCUCAGACAUGUUGCUAAUAUCCAGCAUCAAAGAACUGAAAUCUUUGACAUAAUCCCUGACCAUUCCAGUUUGUUUCAACUUCUUCAAACGAUUUCUAGCAAUCCAGCCCGCAUUGCUAGGAAAGAAUUGAUUUUUCAAUUCUUUCUUCAGCCCUUCCCAAGAGUCAAUCUUCGACCUACCGGCACUUAUAUCAUCUGCCACGCGCGUACGCCACCAAAGCUUUGCAUCGUCCACUAAGUACAUAGUCGUAAUGGCGACCUUGUCUUCAUCUUGCACUUUGACAGCAUGGAAGUACUAUUCUAUAUCCCACAGGAAAUUUUCGAGUUUCUUGGCACUCCUUGCGCCAUUAAACUCUUUAGGCUCCGGAAUUCUAACCUUGGUACGAUCUGCCCCACGUUGUGCUUCAUCAUUUCCAACAGCACGACGUAGCAACCCAUUUUCCGUUUUCAGAUUUGUGCACUCCUGGCUCAGCCUAUUCAUCUCGGCCUCAAGAUAGGCGAGACGAGUCACGAUAGUCAGAAAUUGAUCCCCAUCAAUAGUUCCGACGAGUGCCUCUAAUGCAGCAACCUUUUCCCUCAAUUCUGCGUUGCCACCAGCCAUUCUUCACAAAAUUCAACCACUGAACGUUGUGUCUUCGCCCCGAUCCAGCCACGCUCUGAUACCAGUUGUCAUAAGGGUGAUUUAUGUCACUCAAAUUUUGCCCGAGGUUCACCUCCGUGCGGCAAUCAAGCCCAGCCUUGACUUCAGCCUUUCCAACACUUAGUUUUAUUUUUAGGGACGUUUGCACUAAGAAUGAAAAUAGGCAGCAAAAACAGUAAAUAAAGGCACACACGAUAUACAGGAAUUUCUUCCCAACUCGUAUUAAUAUGUGAAUACAAGAACACAAUAGCCAACCCUAUGGCCAAGACAAAUAAUUCCCUAAUUCCCUGCCCAAAAUGAUUUUCCCACCCUUAGGAAAUGACUCAGACGAAUUUUUGGCUACACAAUGCCUUAGACUAAGUUUCUGCCCUGUUUUGGACAACCUAUGCAAGUAUUUAUAAGGCUAAAAUCAGUUGACAAGCCCCAACUGAUGGGCAAACAAGUUAAGACAAAAUACAAAAACGUGGGCACAUUUUUAGGCCAUGAUCAGCAUGUCUUGGAAGAGGUUGCAACUGCCAACUGCUUCCCAUGUGCUUUGCACAUGUUUUCCAACUGCUGCUUGUGCACAGCAUGUGCCUGAUUUUCGCCCAGCUGCUUUGUGCCAAGGUUGGCAUUGCGCCCAACCUUGCCUUUGACACUGCUCCGCGCCAAUGUCAUUGCCACAUCUCGCCGCCCGCUGACUUAGCCGCACACGUUCAUUGUCACAGUUGCCCGCUCAUAUCAAGUCGCCCCCAACUUGAUUAAAUCUGCCCGCAUCAUUUGCCAUUGCUUGUCCCGCCUUGCCUUGCCUUGCCAUGUCUUUGCCCCUGCUUGACAUGGCUUUGCCUUGCCAUUGUUUUGCCAACCCGCACAUCCAAGUAAAAUGCGCCUUGCUUCCGUUCAAGGUGCAUUUGUCGAACCCCGCAUUGUCUGUCAUGCCGAGCAGCCCAUCAUGAUGUUGCCCAAUUUUCAGGUUGUGUGCCAAGACCAUCAUGAAAAUCCUUGUCACAACCCACACCUGCCGAGGACCUUUGUCAAGGGGCUAACACUAGGUAAGUUAUAUAUUAUUGUAGAAAUUAGUCUUGUAGACAUAAUUCCUGUAAAGUCAAUUACAAAAAUUUAUACUAAGUACUACACUUGGAAGGGUCAUGCCAAGAUACAUUGACAUUUGUUUUCAAACUAAAAAGCAAAAGAAAUGAAAUGAAGAAUGUAUUUGAAC
rnacentral:lncRNA from 1 species